rnacentral:rRNA from 1 species
UACGUAGGUGGCAAGCGUUGUCCGGAAUUACUGGGUGUAAAGGGAGCGUAGGCGGGAGAAUAAGUUGAAUGUAAAAUCUAUCGGCUCAACCGAUAGCCGCGUUCAAAACUGUUUUUCUUGAGUGAAGUAGAGGCAGGCGGAAUUCCUAGUGUAGCGGUGAAAUGCGUAGAGAUGCGGAGGAACACCAGUGGCGAAAGCGGCUUUCUGGUCCUUAACUGACGCUGAGGCGCGAAAGCAUGGGGAGCGAACGGG